GGAGAUUUGACCGGCCAUUCUUAGCUCUAACUGAGGGUAUCUUCUAAAGACAUAACCAAUAGGUGCAGAUGAUUCCUUAAUGACAGACAGCUGGUGAGAAAGGUUUGCUUUCUACGCUUCCUGGUGACCAGUCCAUAUCCUGAAACUAUCUACCUGCCCCAGCCCUGAAUCACCGCAUUAGUAGGAACUCAGGUGUAAUGAAAAGGGGCUCAUUGUUUCUUGAUUCUAAGAAGUUGGUACCACAGAUAGAUGUGGAUCAAUUUGUCCCUGGGAAGGGAUAGGUCAAAUUGAACCACAGCCUUACCUCUGGCCUCCUUGGCCUGUCCGGGAUCACUGCACUAGCUCUCAGACUCCGGCUGGUCUCUGCAUUCCAUUCUGUCCCCUGCUGCCAGCAUGAUGCUGCUGAAGUGAAAAUUUGCAAAUGUCAAUUUUAUGCUUAAACUUCUUCAAUAGCUUCCAGGAUUCCAGACUUUUAGCUUAGCCCCUGGGCCCUCCAGUCCCUCCCCAGAGGUCAUCCUGUGUUCAGUCAUUUGUAUAUUUCCCUAAAUGCAUCACACGGUGUUUCCCCUUGGUCAUUUAAUACAGAUUGCUUCCUCUGCCUGCCUGGUGUUGUUGGUCUUCCGAGCUGGCUCCUCCUCAUUGUGCUGACAACACUAUCAGUUGUCUUUCUCAGAAAGCUUCUUUAGAGCCUCCCUUUGGCACACCUUCCUCAAUUUGGUACCCUUGAAUGUUUUUCCUUCCGUAACAUUAGGGGAUUAUCUAUGCCAUAUCCAGUGCCAUAAGGUACUGCAAUCUUAGCUACCCAUCUUACACCCAAAUGGGGAGCAGGAAUCUAGCAUGGUUAAAUAUGUAAACAAAUCAGUGCAAGAGCUUUCACUGAAUGUUUGAAAAUCUUUUAUUUAUUCAACAAAGCAAUGAUUUAUCCUUAGACCCUGAGGAAAGAAUACUAAGGAACAAAAGUUACAGGGAGGCCAAUUUGGGGUUAUUGUUAAGGAUUUUUGUUUCUAAUAAACAGAGCUCUUUUCAAAUUAAAUCAACUGUUUAUGUGAUAGGGCACUUCUGGUUAUGGGGGAAAUUAGGUAAAGGCUGGAUUGAAGCCGUGGAUCUGUUACUGGGAGACUCAGCAUCAGAUGAAGACUGGACUGUGUGGUUGUCAUCAUGUUGGCCACCAGUG